rnacentral:rRNA from 1 species
UCCGUAGGUGAACCUGCGGAAGGAUCAUUACCUAGAGUUGUAGGCUUUGCCUGCUAUCUCUUACCCAUGUCUUUUGAGUACCUUACGUUUCCUCGGCGGGUCCGCCCGCCGAUUGGACAAUUUAAACCAUUUGCAGUUGCAAUCAGCGUCUGAAAAAACUUAAUAGUUACAACUUUCAACAACGGAUCUCUUGGUUCUGGCAUCGAUGAAGAACGCAGCGAAAUGCGAUAAGUAGUGUGAAUUGCAGAAUUCAGUGAAUCAUCGAAUCUUUGAACGCACAUUGCGCCCCUUGGUAUUCCAUGGGGCAUGCCUGUUCGAGCGUCAUUUGUACCUUCAAGCUCUGCUUGGUGUUGGGUGUUUGUCUCGCCUCUGCGUGUAGACUCGCCUCAAAACAAUUGGCAGCCGGCGUAUUGAUUUCGGAGCGCAGUACAUCUCGCGCUUUGCACUCAUAACGACGACGUCCAAAAGUACAUUUUUACACUCUUGACCUUGGAUCAGGUAGGGAUACCCGCUGAACUUAAGCAUAUCAAUAAGCGGAGGA